GUCCCGCCCGCAGGUGAGGCCGCCGGAGUGCGCACUCUUCGGUACCUGGCUGCCGCUGGACCUUGAGCCCUGGGAGAAGCGAGGCACACGUUCUAUGACCAUGGGACGUCUCAAAAUAGGACUUAAGAGCCACAGUGACUUUGCUUCUUGAAAAGUAACUGGGCGGGGGGAGGGGUACGUGGAGAAAAAGAGGAAUGUGUGCGGGCGGGAGGAGACCAAAAUCACAAAGAGGUCCUCGGAGGGAGACUGAAGAAGAUUGCUGGAGUGUGAUUUCAGAAGAGAAGCAUGGUCUACUUAUUGAUGCCAUCAGAUAUAAAAUUAAAAGAAAGAAAGGUUCUACAAGUGAACCAAACAGAAGAUGUAUAUGUUGAGGCAGCUAUGGAACUCUUAUUUCUUAACUCAAGCAAAAGACCUGUGAGCCAUCCCCUGAUGGAAACCAGCAGGACCACCCCGCAAGCAAUCAUGACUACUCUGAGGAAGAGCUCUGGAGGCCCCGAUCACCCGGGGCAGUUUGUGCUCAACCCCCAACUCACACGUGCUCUGCAGGUCCCUGGAGUGACUCAUGGAGUGCCCAGCACUUACCUUUAUCUCAUUAUAAUCCUAAAAUCUCUACCCAGGAGGAGCACAAGCCUCAUUUACAUAAUAUACAAUUCAGGUACAGGCAUGUUUCCUUAAGAUGCUUGCACCACUGAUGUCUGCCUCUGUAUGUGAUGACCAGGCUUCCUGUUCUAAAUAUCCAUCCUACUCCUAAAUAAAAGGAACCCAUUCACAGGGAA